rnacentral:rRNA from 1 species
UGGGGAAUAUUGCACAAUGGGCGCAAGCCUGAUGCAGCCAUGCCGCGUGUGUGAAGAAGGCCUUCGGGUUGUAAAGCACUUUCAGCGGGGAGGAAGGCGGUGAGGUUAAUAACCUCAUCGAUUGACGUUACCCGCAGAAGAAGCACCGGCUAACUCCGUGCCAGCAGCCGCGGUAAUACGGAGGGUGCAAGCGUUAAUCGGAAUUACUGGGCGUAAAGCGCACGCAGGCGGUCAGUCAAGUCGGAUGUAAAAUCCCCGGGCUCAACCUGGGAACUGCAUUCGAAACUGGCAGGCUAGAGUCUUGUAGAGGGGGGUAGAAUUCCAGGUGUAGCGGUGAAAUGCGUAGAGAUCUGGAGGAAUACCGGUGGCGAAGGCGGCCCCCUGGACAAAGACUGACGCUCAGGUGCGAAAGCGUGGGGAGCAAACAGG